CUAUAGCUCAAUGGUAGAGCAUCUGUCUUGUCUUGUAUACAGAAAGCCCCAUGUUCAAUCCUUGGUGGCAAGG